rnacentral:rRNA from 1 species
GUAGGGAAUAUUGCGCAAUGGACGAAAGUCUGACGCAGCGACGCCGCGUGAGUGAUGAAGGCCUUAGGGUCGUAAAGCUCUGUUGAAUGGGAAGAAAAAAAAUGACGGUACCAUUCGAGGAAGGACCGGCUAACUUCGUGCCAGCAGCCGCGGCAAUACGAGGGGUCCUAGCGUUGUUCGGAAUCAUUGGGUGUAAAGGGUGUGUAGGUGGCCAUGUAAGUCAGGUGUGAAAGCCCCGGGCUCAACCCGGGAAGUGCACUUGAUACUGCGUGGCUUGAGUACCGAAGAGGGUAGUGGAAUUCCAGGUGUAGUGGUGAAAUACGUAGAUAUCUGGAGGAACACCGGUGGCGAAGGCGGCUACCUGGUCGAGUACUGACACUGAGACACGAAAGCAUGGGGAUCAAACAGGAUUAGAAACCCCGGUAGUCC